rnacentral:SRP_RNA from 1 species
GCCGGGUGGAGUGGUGGGCACCUGUAAUCCCACCUACUCGGGAGGCUGAGGCAGGAGAAUUGCUUGAACCCAGGAGGCAGAGGUUGCAGUGAGCAGAGAUCAUGCCACUGCAGUCUAGCCUGGGUGACAGAGCAAGACUCCAUCUCAA